rnacentral:lncRNA from 1 species
UUGGUCACAAAUUCCAAAUCCUACAGUCAUUAAGAAUAAGGUAGAAACUUUCAAGCUUCUAUAAAUGUUUCUUUUAUUAAUUUCUUCUAUAGAUUAGAGGUUACACAAGUCAUGAAUUGUGUCUCUCUGUUACAAAAAGAGAUAUACUACCAAGACUGAAGGAGUGCUAUAUGGUUAUUGUGGAUUGCCAUCGUUGGAGUCACAAAAUUGUGUGAUUGACUUCUGCCACAACAUCUCUGUUUCAUAUUGUAUUGUCGCAUUUAAUCAAUAGUGAAACAAUGAAGCUGGAAAUUCUAUCUCUAUUAUUUGCUUGAAUCAUCACACAAAUUCAAACUAGACUAGUCAUUUUGGAUCGACAUUAUCAUCUUUUUUAUUUUUUAUGUACCGUGUUCUUUUCUUUCACAACCAUCUUUUGCUAUGUUUCUGCAUAUUGUAUUAUUCUUGCACCAGAUUCGUGAAAAUAUAAGUCUGUCUGUUGUGCCGAUAUUGGACAUUGUACACGUCUUCAAUCUCUAAGUUUCGGUUCUACAUAAAAGUGUUCUAUAUCAAUAUGUAUUCAAGUCUGUCUCAAGGUUGAAAUUAUACCAUGCCUUAUUUUUUAAAAUUUCAAUGUAUAUAAUCUUUCAAUUUGUUCCUUUCUCAUUUAGUUUUUAAAAAUAUGAUUCAGUUGCUUAAUCAAAUUCUGAUUCCUUGACCAU